AACUACUUGUUUCUUUACAGGACCCAAACCUUGCAAGCAAACACCUAAGUGCAAAAAGGUUGGCGGGAAGUGCGCUCGAAAAUGUAAACGCAAACAGUCGGAAUUGAAGAACUGCUGCAAAGGCAAAAAGUGCAAGUGCUGCAUUAAGAUAAAGUGCAAACCGAAGCCACAAUGUAUACAGGGGAGUGGAAAAUGCAGACGCAAUAAAUGCCGUAGUGACGAAGUUGAACUGAAUAAAGGGGAUGCAAGGGCAACAAGUGCAAGUGCUGCAUACGUCCCCCAACAACUACGAGUUCAACUACUACGAGGACAACUACAACAACUACGAGGACAACUACAACAACUCCAACGAGGAACACUACGACGACGACUCCACCGGGAAAUUCUACCUCAUCUACAACAAUUAGCACAACUCCAGGAAACUCUUCCUCAACAAGCACUCCUACAGGAAACUCUUCCUCAACAAGCACUCCUACAGGAAACUCUUCCUCAACAAGCACUCCU